rnacentral:tRNA from 1 species
GCCUGGGUGGCUCAGUCGGUUGAGCGUCCGACUUCAGCUCAGGUCACGAUCUCGCGGUUCGUGGGUUCGAACCCAGCGUCGGGCU